rnacentral:tRNA from 1 species
GGUUAUGGCUCAAGUGGUAGAGCAUUCGCCUCGCAUGUGCAAGGCCCUGGGUUCGAUCCUCAGCACCA